UACCAGCACCAGCUGGUCAUCCGUGAAGCCCUGGCCAAACAAGAGGCUCCCAGUUAGCAAAGCCGUGGCUGGCCAGUUUACACAGCAUCCAGAGAAAACAAAUUCUGAGAAUAUUUUUUAUAAAAUAUUUGGCAACAGGUAACUUAUUUCCCAGACAGGAAGCACGGACCCCACGCCCCCAAACAGCAUGGUACAUAAUAUAGUAGCUGAAGUUGGGGACCAGAAAGAAGCCACAUCUGCAGUCACACUGGGCUCCAGGAUGGCUUUGUGCAUGCUGUAGGCCUCUGUGACGACUAGGAGGGAGGUCCAGCAUGGCUGCUCUGCCUACAGCAAGGACUACUUGGCAGGCACAAGACAACAGCUACCCACCAUGCACUGCAUAGGGGCAAGGAGCUUAGGAAAAGAGGCAGAAGACACCUGUCCCAUUGCAUACCUGACCAUACAGAGUAGCAUCAUCUCCAUCAUCCAUUAGUGGUACUGGGGUGUCGAAGAAAUGCUGCGAUCUCUCCUCUCGGUUUUUCAUGCCUAGCAAACAGGAGGAGCCCACUUUACUUGAACGAGUAUGGCUACUGUUCUACCAUGAAAAAGGCUGUCUAAGAGUAAAACCCAAUAGCAAGGGGAGGCCCCUAAACAGUCUAAAGAGACCACCUCCAGAGGGGAGCCUUGCUUGCAUUAAAGCAUUGCAACAUCAUGCAAGUGUUCAGGGUACUCAGGGCAGCCACUCUAAAUGCCCAAUUCACAGGAUGCCAAGACAGACAGAACACAACCAUCUGAGACUUCUCUAAGUGGAACAGUAACAGUUAUUCUAAGUGCUGUUAUAAGACAUUAACACAACAUCCAUAUCUCUCUUCUGGAGACUCUCUAAGUAAGCAUUCUGAUCACAGUCAGAAGGAAUGAAAUGACAGCAGAUAUGGGAAAGGGAUCAGGGUUACAGGAGGAAGUGGGUUCUAUCCCUUACAACGACACACAGGAAAACCCAGAGUCAGCUGAUGCAAGACUGUUCGCACCCUGCUUUCAGGUAACCAGGGCCAUGCAGAUGUCACUAUGAGGAGGAACUGGCUCUAAUACAUGUCAUCAAAACCUACAGAGCCCAACGUCACAUCAACAAGGCUUCUAUAGCAACACUGUGACUUUCAAAGUCUAUGCACAGCUAGGGCUGAGUGCUAUUCACCUGGACAGGAACCUGUCUGUACCACUGCACCAGGAGCCAGGCCUUCUCUCCUCAGCAAAGAUUCCCUAGGGAGGCAGCUUCCUCUUGCUCAAAAGGUGUGAAUGUGCCUAACUAGCUGUUAACAAUGAAAGGCAGGUGCUGAAGAGAGAAACUGCCCCAAAGGAGGACAGAAAACACAAUGCUUCUUACUUAAGAGUCCCUCCACCAGGCCUGCACUCACGUUUCAGGUAGUCAGACUGUGCAUGCCGGAAGCUGGUGGACAGCUCCUGCAGGGCCUGUGCCAAGGAGGCCACCACGUUCCGCAGUAGCCGCUCUUCCUGCUCCGAGCAGGCCCUUCGUGCCCGGCUGGGCAGGGCCUGCACAGCACGCUGGCACCUAUGGAAGAGCUGAGAGAAUAGCUCUGGCUUACAUCAAAAGCCUCUCCUAGACAAGCUCUCUGCCAGGAGGCACCCUGUUCUGCAGGCUGGUAUAGAAAGGUCAGGUUGGACAUGUGUGUGCAAGGGUAAAAGAGGGUGACUAGAGGUUUCAUACACACACACUGAAGACCUACCUAAACUUCACCUUAUCUGUACAGUAUCUAUCCUGUGCCCGAUACUGCUCACUGUUACUGUAUGUUUGACUAUUUGACUUCCUACAUGAGGCAGGUACUAGACUAGUGUGACUUUUAUGCCCAUUUUACAGAUGAGAAGGUAGGAUCAAAGACUGAAGUAGAAACAUUUAAUGGCUACUCAGCUACAAAGCUGGCUUCAGACAUUUGGAUAUCUACUCUCAAAGUAAAUACAAAGGAGACUCGAACACACAAACAAUAUAUAAAGCUUAAAGAAGUGUUUCCCAGUCAUAUCACUUAAAGAUUGGUUCAAGCAGGUUUCCAUUAAAAUGCCCACCCUAUCUUCUUAUGGACCUGUGUUUAGCAUGAAAUUCCAAGUCCUAGAAUAUGGCAGCAGUUACACAUUUUAACAUCAACAGUGGUGUCUACCAACAACUGAAAAAUAGUACCUAUACCUCCAAGAAAACCACACACUCUGAAAAUCACUCAUAGACCUUGGGUUUUUCCAAGGUCCCCUGAGACUUUUAAGACAUUAUCAGCAGCGUUUAGAGUGGGGCAAAGGCUGGGGUGAGGGCUGGGAGGAUCAGCACCUCCCCGGGACUAGCGUUGUGUUCUUACCUGUGUGACUUCCUGGGUGGUGAUCUCGAUGGCAUGUUCCUCCUCACUGCUGUCAUCCAGGGUGGGUCUGUUCAAAUGCUUAUCAUGAAGGCUGGCUAACUCCUUCAUCUUCUGUUUAAUGCGGCCAACAUCAUACUGUAUCUAAACAAAUGAACUCACUAAAAUCCCUCUUAUGCCUGGCAGCUAUCCAUCUGUAUUCAAGACAGUUAGCUACACCAGAAUCUGCACUCAGUUGAAUUUAGUGGCCUACUGCUGACACACAAGUAACUUUGAAAUUCAAGUUAUAAAGGAAAAAACAAAGAGCACAAAGGCUGGAGAGACUGCUCGCAGUCAAGAGCCACUUGUUGCUGUUAGAGAAGACUGGGCUCCAUUCCCAACACCUCCAUGUCCUAAUGCUCCUUUAUGACCCCCUCAGGCACACACCUCAGACAACGAUAGACCUGUAGGCAAAACACUAUUACACAUAAAGUAAAAUAAGCCAAUAGGUGGUGUUACACGCCUUCAAUCCUAGGACUGGGAAGGCAGAGGCAGGUAGAUCUCUUGAGUUUGAAGCCAGCCUGGGCUACACAGAGAAACCCUGCCCGGAGAAACCAAACAUAAUAUAAAUAAACCUAAAACAAAGAAGCACACACCCUUCCUUAUUCCUUAGUUUUUCAUUUCUUUCUAUAAUUCAAGUCGUUGUUGCUAACACUAAGUUCACAUCAUGCAGGCAGCCAUCCAGACCCAGUCUUGCUUUACUGUGUGGUACAUAAAUGAGCAAACUCACGAAUGGCUGUGUCUGAGGACACAGCUUUCACUGCAGCCAUACUGGCUCAUAUGACAGAUUCUCAAUCAACCGUGUUGUCAUCCAAACUUAAAAGACAAACCCACAAAAGGAAGCAUGCAGAAACUUACUUCGUCCACGCCAUCCACCCACUUGGGAGGCGACCGCUUUGUCACGCCAAUUGCUGCUUCUGGAUCUAGGCUGAUGCCUGAUACCAGCGCCAUGCGGUCAUCAGCAAGCUACAGGGGAUAACGGGCAUCAAGAGGUGAUCAGAGGUCAGUGUGGAUGUGGCUCUCCCCACCCUCCCUGAGGAUGUGGAAAGGCAAGGGGAAUGCAUGUGCCCAUGUCACAUGCUUGUGUCUGACACACUAGAGUCUGAGCUCCAUUCCUAUCUUUUCAUGCACCACUUCUGAGCUUUCUUGGACAUUCUUGUGGACACGACUUUGACGUGACUUGGCUACAGAAAUGUAAUGAAAAUGUCAGAGACCAGUUCCUUAAGGAAAAGUCUCUCAGCAGCAGGACUGAGGUAAGGCAGCAGGAAGCAGAGGGUGAGUGUGCUGGGCGCUGCUGUGCUACAGGUGUGAUGACUGCAGCAGGCCUGCUGUGGACAUCAAGUUAGUCCAGUUACCUCAGCAGACUGUUAACUACAUGUUAAAAUAAGUCCAAGAACUGCUUAGCAGGACUAGCAAUACUGUGCAUGGGCCUUGACCAUCCUUGGGUUAGUGUUGGCCAGCCCCACCUUCUGCACACCAUCCCGCCUUCUGCAAGCCACCUGAGUCUUUGCCACAGCUACUGGUCCACUGGCUGAACUUCCCUUACUUUGAAAUGACAGACAGUUUUUGUUUUUUAAAUUUGCAAUAUAUAUUGCCUUUGAAAUUUCUGAGAGUGGGAGGGAAGUCACAAGGACUAGCCUGGUUAUUUAUUUAUUUUGCCUGGAGGCAAAGAAUGGAUCUGAAAGGAUCUAUAAGUCCUCCAAAACACAGGAUUUUUAAAUGCUAAUUUCAAAAGACCCAAAUGAUACCCCACUAAAAUGGGUGGUGGUCUACAGACAUCCACAUAGACAAUGCUUUGUGAGUGAGCAAGGUCCACUCCUUCCUUCCUUGUAAUCAUCUACAUUUAUUUUUUAUUCAUUUGACAAAUUCAUAUUUGCUUACCUAACAAUAAAGAGGCAAAUCUAAAAUUCUCACAAAUGAAAACUAUC
rnacentral:lncRNA from 1 species